GGACAUUGGAGCCAAUGUUGACACGUUGCGAGGGAAUGUUGAUCUGUGGAUAUCCAUGAAUGAAGAAUUGAUUGAUUGAGUGAUUCCUUUUACUGAUCUGAACUGCGUAGUCCACCCAAGUAAGACAAUGAGAGUCCUGACCAAAAAUCAGGUUGAAGUUUGCCUCGAGGCUUCCAAGACGAGUUCAGGACAUGAGAGAACAACCGCGCUCAAAAUACACGGGAAGUUUCUCCUCGACAAAUGAAAUGACAGAUCAAAGUUUUCAACGUAGCAGAUCAAAGUUACACAUCAGCAAUAUAAAUAGAUCGCUCCUUCUCCUAGUCCCAUCUCCAAGGGAUUAAUCAGUUUGGAUGGCAUGAAAGGAGAUUGAUGCAACAUUUUGCAAA